UUUAUCGGAGAGUUUGAUCCUGGCUCAGGACGAACGCUGGCGGCGUGCCUAAUACAUGCAAGUCGAGCGGACAGAUGGGAGCUUGCUCCCUGAUGUUAGCGGCGGACGGGUGAGUAACACGUGGGUAACCUGCCUGUAAGACUGGGAUAACUCCGGGAAACCGGGGCUAAUACCGGAUGGUUGUUUGAACCGCAUGGUUCAGACAUAAAAGGUGGCUUCGGCUACCGCUUACAGAUGGACCCGCGGCGCAUUAGCUAGUUGGUGAGGUAACGGCUCACCAAGGCAACGAUGCGUAGCCGACCUGAGAGGGUGAUCGGCCACACUGGGACUGAGACACGGCCCAGACUCCUACGGGAGGCAGCAGUAGGGAAUCUUCCGCAAUGGACGAAAGUCUGACGGAGCAACGCCGCGU
rnacentral:rRNA from 1 species